UGGGGAAUUUUGGACAAUGGGCGAAAGCCUGAUCCAGCAAUGCCGCGUGUGUGAAGAAGGCCUUCGGGUUGUAAAGCACUUUUGUCCGGAAAGAAAUCCUUGGCUCUAAUACAGUCGGGGGAUGACGGUACCGGAAGAAUAAGCACCGGCUAACUACGUGCCAGCAGCCGCGGUAAUACGUAGGGUGCAAGCGUUAAUCGGAAUUACUGGGCGUAAAGCGUGCGCAGGCGGUUUGCUAAGACCGAUGUGAAAUCCCCGGGCUCAACCUGGGAACUGCAUUGGUGACUGGCAGGCUAGAGUAUGGCAGAGGGGGGUAGAAUUCCACGUGUAGCAGUGAAAUGCGUAGAGAUGUGGAGGAAUACCGAUGGCGAAGGCAGCCCCCUGGGCCAAUACUGACGCUCAUGCACGAAAGCGUGGGGGAGCAAAACAGGAUUAGAUACCCUGGUAGUCCACGCCCUAAACGAUGUCAACUAGUUGUUGGGGAUUCAUUUCCUUAGUAACGUAGCUAACGCGUGAAGUUGACCGCCUGGGGAGUACGGUCGCAAGAUUAAAACUUAAAGGAAUUGACGGGGUCAUAGCUG
rnacentral:rRNA from 1 species